GGUCUUGUGGUGCAAUGGUAGCAUAUCACACUUCUACGGAGAUCAUGUGAGGGUUGUGGGUUCGAGUCCCGCCAGGACCU
rnacentral:tRNA from 2 species